GAAAAGGUAGAUCUCAUUGACUGCAGUAGAAUGUGAUUUCAACAAAUGUAAACAGCAUUUGGCUAAGAUUGGGAAGAUGAUAAAAGACAUGAUACAUCUUUAGUCCUGUCUCCACAUCCUGAAAUAAAGAAGCAAUCUUACAUCGUGGAUAAGCUCAUUCUUUUACAGAUGAUGGAUACCCAGCUGACCUGCUGCUGCUCAGAAAACUGAUGGUUGAGGCCAAGGAACAGCCCGUGACUUGCAGUUCCCACUAACAGGCCCAUUGGUGAUGACUGGCAAACAAGGCCACUGUGAAAUAAGAAAUGAGUUUGUCU